CCUACGGGGGGCAGCAGUGAGGAAUAUUGGUCAAUGGUCGGGAGACUGAACCAGCCAAGCCGCGUGAGGGAUGAAGGUACAGAGUAUCGUAAACCUCUUUUGUCAGGGAACAAAGGCGGGGACGCGUCCCCGGAUGAGUGUACCUGAAGAAAAAGCAUCGCCUAACUCCGUGCCAGCAGCCGCGGUAAUAGGAAGGAUGCGAGCGUUAUCCGGUUUUAUUGGGUUUAAAGGGUGCGCAGGCGGUCUGUUAAGUCAGCGGGCAAAGCACGGGGCUCAACCCCGGCCCGCCGUUGAAACUGGCAGUCUCGAGUUGGAGAGAGGUAUGCGGAAUGCGCGGUGUAGCGGUGAAAUGCAUAGAUAUCGCGCAGAACUCCGAUUGCGAAGGCAGCAUGCCGGCUCCACACUGACGCUGAGGCACGAAAGCGUGGGUAUCGAACAGGAUUAGAUACCCUUGUAGUC
rnacentral:rRNA from 1 species